rnacentral:rRNA from 1 species
AACGCUAGCUACAGGCUUAACACAUGCAAGUCGAGGGGAAACGACAUCGAAAGCUUGCUUUUGAUGGGCGUCGACCGGCGCACGGGUGAGUAACGCGUAUCCAACCUGCCCAUCACUUGGGGAUAACCUUGCGAAAGUAAGACUAAUACCCAAUGAUAUCUCUAGAAGACAUCUGAAAGAGAUUAAAGAUUUAUCGGUGAUGGAUGGGGAUGCGUCUGAUUAGCUUGUUGGCGGGGUAACGGCCCACCAAGGCAACGAUCAGUAGGGGUUCUGAGAGGAAGGUCCCCCACAUUGGAACUGAGACACGGUCCAAACUCCUACGGGAGGCAGCAGUGAGGAAUGUUGGUCAAUGGGCGAGAGCCUGAACCAGCCAAGUAGCGUGCAGGAUGACGGCCCUAUGGGUUGUAAACUGCUUUUAUAAGGGAAUAAAGUGAGUCUCGUGAGACUUUUUGCAUGUACCUUAUGAAUAAGGACCGGCUAAUUCCGUGCCAGCAGCCGCGGUAAUACGGAAGGUCCGGGCGUUAUCCGGAUUUAUUGGGUUUAAAGGGAGCGUAGGCCGGAGAUUAAGCGUGUUGUGAAAUGUAGACGCUCAACGUCUGCACUGCAGCGCGAACUGGUUUCCUUGAGUACGCACAAAGUGGGCGGAAUUCGUGGUGUAGCGGUGAAAUGCUUAGAUAUCACGAAGAACUCCGAUUG